UCUCAGUGAUUCAAUUCCAGUAGAGCCUCUGACCCUCCCCUGUGGACUCAGUGCCAGGGAGAUGAAGAGGAAAGAGCCCCAGAGA